GAGUGGCUGACUCCCAGGGGCGCGUCGACGGUGGCGCCGUGCUUGGGUUACCGAGCUGACGUGGCUUCGAUUGGGCGGGGGGCGUCCGGAGUUGGCUGGGACGGCCGCCUGCAGGUGAGUGGGAGCCGCAGGCUCCGCGGGGAGCUCCGCAACGGCUCUGCUGCGAGCCCCGGGCCAAGGGGCUCGGGACACGGCUCAGCCGGCCGCCCCGCCCCUCACCUCCGGGCUCCGCCGCCUUCACCCGCCCGCCCUAGGUGGUCGCCCAGUGCCCGCCGCCGUACUCGGCCCGGGGACACAGACACCCAGUCAGUCUGCCGGCAGGGUCGUUCCUCCCCGGGGAGCCCCGGAGGCGGGCGAGCUGGUCAGCCCUACGUGCACGGACGGCCCUGUGUCCGAGCGGCCUGGGCAAGCCAGCCUGGGCACCGAGCCGGGGACGCUAGAGGCAACCUGCCCCAGCCCUGUGCUCGCCCCAGCCCUGAACAAACUUAGUGUUCCGCUGUCGCCGUUACCGCAGUCGAGGCCCACGAAUGAUCCUGCUGUUGGGUUAGGAAGAUGACGGAGAGAUGAUCCAGAAGGAAGGGAAUGUUGAAGGGAGUUCUGGAGGAAAAAAAAAAACCCUUGGUGUGGCCUUGUGGCAUGGGUUUGUUGUUGCGCAGCAGGAAUGAGAACAGGAGGACGAGCCUCAGGGCGAUUGAAGGAAAUAUUUGCCUGGUUUAUUUAAAGCCCCGCAGUUGGUCUGUGAGGAGAGGACAGUUUUGGGAGUGGAACAGAUAUUUAAAAUCAUGGAUAAACACGUUGACUUUUAGAGAUAGUUGGAAGCUCUCCAUUAAAGGAAUGGAUUUCCAGAUUUGAGCAAGAUGGACUGUGCAAGAGUUUAUAACAAAGUGUGGAGGCCUUUCUAGAAACAUGAGUAAAUAGGGUUUGGAUGAUCGGAAUGACCGUAAAGGGUCAGAUUCAGGAAAUGUUCUGUUAGAAAAAUGAGACGACUUGGAGUAGACACGGGAGAAAAAAAAAUGAGGACAACUAAAAAAUUUUAGAGGUUAAAAGUAUAGCCAAAUGGUAGGUCUCUUACUUCCAGAAGGCCCUGGCCUGAAGCAUUGGUGUUGGUUACACGGCCUUUACUUCCUUGAUCCUGGUAGGACUGUUUGAUGCUUCCGUCCUCACUGUGCUUUAACAUUUGUUUAACUACAGAAGUAGUUUCUGAACAUUCUUAAUUGCAUAUGCUACAGGUAAAAUAUCUUGAAUGUAUUCCUAAGUAUAUUGAUUAAGUAAAUUUUAUGUUAAUUUGGAUAGUGUAACAAUAUCUCUGAAAAUACACCACAGAUUAUAAAAUAUACAAAAAUACUAGAGAAUUAAAUGAAAAAUUAAAAAAAAAAUCUGUCUACAACGGUCACGACGGAAUUUGAAGAUCACAUAAAAUGUGCCUCUUGGUUUCUCACGAUGAUGGUCAACAUUUCUGAGGAUUUCCACGAUUUGGGGGGGGGUGGGAAUGGGGUUCCCAUUCUACUGGAAUAUAGUCCUUUCUAAAAGUAAUCAUCUUUAGAAGAUUUUCCCUUUAACUCUCUUGUUCCCAGCACCUCAGCCCAUUUGGAUUAAAGAGAUGUUGAGACUAUGCUUAUUUAUAAAAUAUAUCAUUAACUUCUCUUGGUUACCUACUAGCAAUAAAUUAUUUGUGACACAUUGAUGCGCAUUACAUACUGCCUGUUAGUAACAACCCAGACUGGACUACACUCAGAGCCUUAUGCAUGUGAGGCAAGCACUCUGAUACCAAGCUACAUCCCCAACCCUUAAUGAAGACUACUUUAUGAAGUAAUGAAGAGAAUGAGAAAUCCUCUUUCUUAUUUUAGGUACUUUAGGGUUGCUUUUUUUGUUGUUUUUGUUUGUGUUUGUGUUUUCAAUAGUUCCAGAUAGCCCUGGCUGCCCUGGAACUGGCUCUAUAGACCGGGCUGGCCUCAAACAGAUACCCAUGCCUCUGCUUCCCAGGUGCUGGAUUAGAGACAAGCGUUGCCUCUGCCUGGCUCAGUUAUAUGUGCUCUUGAUCAAUGGAAAUCCAGAACCAAAGGGUAUAAUGCAAAGCACAAUUCUGUCUACUUGCCUCUCUCCAUUCCCCACUCCAGAAAUUCUGGAAAUCAUUUGUCCCUAAGACACAUUCCAAAGGCCAGUAGUACAUACUCCCCCGCCCCCGCAAGUCAUAAUACAUCCUUUUGCCACUUAAUAUUAUACAGCAGCUCUGAGAUGAACGUCUGAAUCAUGAAGGGCUCAAUAUAAAGUAUUAUGAGUAUUCAUAUGCUAACAGUAGAAAGUUCUGAGUUCAUUUCUCAGCAACUACCUUAGCUCACAGCCACCCGUAAUGGGUUCUGAUGCCCCCUUCUGGCGUGUACCUGUACAUGCCUAGAGAACAUUUUAUGCACAUAAAGUAAAUAAAU
rnacentral:lncRNA from 1 species